AACGAACGCUGGCGGCAGGCCUAACACAUGCAAGUCGAACGAUGAACCCUAGCUUGCUAGGGGGAUUAGUGGCGAACGGGUGAGUAAUAUAUCGGAACGUGCCUUGUAAUGGGGGAUAACUAGUCGAAAGAUUAGCUAAUACCGCAUACGCCCUGAGGGGGAAAGUAGGGGAUCUUCGGACCUUACGUUAUAAGAGCGGCCGAUAUCUGAUUAGCUAGUUGGUGGGGUAAUGGCCUACCAAGGCGACGAUCAGUAGCUGGUCUGAGAGGACGACCAGCCACACUGGAACUGAGACACGGUCCAGACUCCUACGGGAGGCAGCAGUGGGGAAUUUUGGACAAUGGGCGCAAGCCUGAUCCAGCCAUUCCGCGUGAGUGAAGAAGGCCUUCGGGUUGUAAAGCUCUUUCGCAAGGGAAGAAAACUUACCAUCGAAUAAUGGUGAGGCUGACGGUACCUUGAUAAGAAGCACCGGCUAACUACGUGCCAGCAGCCGCAGUAACAC
rnacentral:rRNA from 1 species